rnacentral:rRNA from 1 species
AUUGAACGCUGGCGGCAUGCCUUACACAUGCAAGUCGAACGGCAGCACGGGUGCUUGCACCUGGUGGCGAGUGGCGAACGGGUGAGUAAUACAUCGGAACGUACCUUAUCGUGGGGGAUAACGCAGCGAAAGCUGUGCUAAUACCGCAUACGCCCUGAGGGGGAAAGCGGGGGAUCGCAAGACCUCGCGCGAUUAGAGCGGCCGAUGCCUGAUUAGCUUGUUGGUGGGGUAAAAGCCCACCAAGGCGACGAUCAGUAGCUGGUCUGAGAGGACGAUCAGCCACACUGGGACUGAGACACGGCCCAGGAUCCUACGGGAGGCAGCAGUGGGGAAUUUUGGACAAUGGGGGCAACCCUGAUCCAGCAAUGCCGCGUGAGUGAAGAAGGCCUUCGGGUUGUAAAGCUCUUUUGUCAGGGAAGAAACACCGGCUCUAACACAGUCCGGGAAUGACGGUACCUGAAGAAUAAGCACCGGCUAACUACAUGCCAGCAGCCGCAGUAA